AGGGCACCACCAGGAGUGGAGCCUGCGGCUUAAUUUGACUCAACACGGGAAAGCUCACCCGGCCCGGACACUGGAAGGAUUGACAGAUUGAGAGCUCUUUCUUGAUUCAGUGGGUGGUGGUGCAUGGCCGUUCUUAGUUGGUGGAGUGAUUUGUCUGGUUAAUUCCGAUAACGAACGAGACUCUAGCCUACUAAAUAGAUCGUCGGCUUACAAACGCCGGCGAGACUUCUUAGAGGGACAGGCGGUGAUUCAACCGCACGAAACAGAGCAAUAACAGGUCUGUGAUGCCCUUAGAUGUCCGGGGCCGCACGCGCGCUACACUGAAGUGAUCAGCGUGCUUUUUCAACCUACUCUGUCAAGAGUGGGGAACCCAAUGAACCUUCUUCGUGAUUGGGAUAGGGGAUUGUAAUUAUUCCCCUUGAACGAGGAAUUCCCAGUAAGCGCGAGUCAUAAGCUCGCGUUGAUUACGUCCCUGCCCUUUGUACACACCGCCCGUCGCUACUACCGAUUGAAUGUUUU
rnacentral:rRNA from 1 species